GAAUCCCUGCCGUGCUCGUGACGGUGCGGGGCAUUUUGAGCCAACAGUUACACUAAGGGAGCCGGAGCGUCAUGGUGAUUGGGGCCGCCGUUUCAAGCGCGGAACCAGACCCAUGGCGGGAGGCGCCCACCUGGUUGAUCCAGGUUCAAGAGCCCGACACCCCACGGCACAUGCGGUGGGGGUUCC
rnacentral:other from 1 species